UGCUUCUUCUAAUGUCUGAGUCCCUCAUGUUCUCACAUGGAUAACUUCUUUUCACAGCUCCACCACCAGACAUGUAAUCACCGGGUUGUCAUUGCUACCUUAGUUUUUGAUCAUUGUCAUUAACAAUGUUAAACAAUGAUCAAAAACUUUCGUAGUUUCCCGACAUAGCAAAAUGAAGUUAAUGUACUGACUUGAUUCUCAAAAUUUGGUUGGGCUGGGCGCUAGUGACAAUUGUAUAUGAGCUCUGCUGUUUGGAUGAGAAGUUGAAUCGAGAAACCUUCAACUGGAAGGUGAAGGUGCGGCCGAAAUUUUUUUUUGAUGCAUUAUAGAAGGGCCGAACUCCGGGGGUCUUGGAGCCCUGCGUUCUGGUGAGGGAUAAUAUUUCAGUUACUUGAAUAUGCAGUUUACGUAAAAUACGGACAGAGAAAUGUGCGUAAGUUGGUAAGUGUUACCAUUUGUUGGGAGACCUCUCCAACCCUGGUAUUUGUCAACUAACUUAUUACAGUAUCAAAAGCUACAAACUCAGUUGAGUCAGAUGCAUCGGAGACUGUCACAUUAACAAUUUCAGAAUGUGACAUAUAAUGUCUAUAAAAGUUUACUAUCAACAAAGCUGGAAGGAGGAAGAAUUUUGUGCUGAUAAAACAUUACCUCACAACCCCAAUUGAAUUCUCUUUAUUACAUGAAACGCAAGUGAAGGAGGAGAAGCCUCGUUACAGUAUGCGAAAAAUCUUAGUGCACGAAAUGUAGCACCAUCAGUAGAUGGUAUCAAUGCCACUUACUACCCCAGUGCAUAGGAACUUAACGUUCUACAACAAUGUAAAUUAAGAGAGGCAAAGGUUAUCUUGUGUUUACCAGUGGGGAGGCGUUCAAAACAAAGGAAUUAAGCUCAGCCAAUGUUACCGACUCUAUCUUCCUCAAUGUCUGACGUGACAAUUUUGAAUCUCGCUCUUUCUUCUCCGGCCGAUCUCUCAUCUUUACCACCUCAUGAUGAUGUCCACGGGUCUCUGACAGAUAGGAACAAAGCAAAUAAAAAAAAUCAUCAGAUAAGCUUAAAUAUUUGAAGGAGGAGGUCGAAGCAAUCAAUACCUGAGAAUUUCCGUCUCUGUUUUGUAAUUCCAUUUGAAGAAGGCACGAUGGUAGAUGAUCGUCAAGCUUCCCUGGUUCAACAAAUAAAACAAUAUGCGUGAAUUCUUUUGUUACACCCGAGUUCUAGCUUCCCAACUCCGAGCAAUUGUGCUACUUCUCACCAAAUAUGUUUCAUAUGAAGCUAUCUUUUGAGUAUCCUCGGGUUU
rnacentral:lncRNA from 1 species